GGAUUAGAUACCCUGGUAGUCUUAGCUGUAAACGAUGGAUACUAGGCGUUGCUUGUAUCGACCCGAGCAGUGCCGUAGCCAACGCGUUAAGUAUCCCGCCUGGGGAGUACGCACGCAAGUGUGAAACUCAAAGGAAUUGACGGGGGCCCGCACAAGCGGUGGAGUAUGUGGUUUAAUUCGAUGCAACGCGAAGAACCUUACCAGGGCUUGACAUCCCACGAAUUUUGGGGAAACUCAGAAGUGCCUUCGGGAACGUGGAGACAGGUGGUGCAUGGCUGUCGUCAGCUCGUGCUG
rnacentral:rRNA from 1 species